rnacentral:rRNA from 1 species
UCCCAAACCCAAUGUGAACCAUACCAAACUGUUGCCUCGGCGGGGUCACGCCCCGGGUGCGUCGCAGCCCCGGAACCAGGCGCCCGCCGGAGGGACCAACCAAACUCUUUACUGUAGUCCCCUCGCGGACGUUAUUUCUUACAGCUCUGAGCAAAAAAUUCAAAAUGAAUCAAAACUUUCAACAACGGAUCUCUUGGUUCUGGCAUCGAUGAAGAACGCAGCGAAAUGCGAUAAGUAAUGUGAAUUGCAGAAUUCAGUGAAUCAUCGAAUCUUUGAACGCACAUUGCGCCCGCCAGUAUUCUGGCGGGCAUGCCUGUCCGAGCGUCAUUUCAACCCUCGAACCCCUCCGGGGGGUCGGCGUUGGGGAUCGGGAACCCCUCAGACGGGAUCCCGGCCCCGAAAUACAGUGGCGGUCUCGCCGCAGCCUCUCCUGCGCAGUAGUUUGCACAACUCGCACCGGGAGCGCGGCGCGUCCACGUCCGUAAAACACCCAACUUUCUGAAAUGUUGACCUCGGAUCAGGUAGGAAUACCCGCUGAACUUAAGCAUAUC